UACGUAGGGUGCAAGCGUUGUCCGGAAUUAUUGGGCGUAAAGAGCUCGUAGGCGGUCUGUCGCGUCGGCUGUGAAAACUCGGGGCUCAACCCCGAGCUUGCAGUCGAUACGGGCAGGCUAGAGUUCGGCAGGGGAGACUGGAAUUCCUGGUGUAGCGGUGAAAUGCGCAGAUAUCAGGAGGAACACCGGUGGCGAAGGCGGGUCUCUGGGCCGAUACUGACGGCUGAGGAGCGAAAGCGUGGGGAGCGAACAGG
rnacentral:rRNA from 1 species